CAUGGAGGGUGAGAAUCCCGUUCAUGGUUGAUUUUAAGGCGCUUUACGAUACGUUUUCAAAGAGUCGAGUUGUUUGGGAUUGCAGCUUAAAAUGGGAGGUAAAUUUCUCCUAAAGCUAAAUAUUGGCGAGAGACCGAUAGCGAACAAGUACCGUGAGGGAAAGAUGAAAAGAACUUUGAAAAGAGAGUUAAACAGUACGUGAAAUUGUUGAAAGGGAAACGAUUGAAGUCAGUCGUACCAACGGGAAAUCAAUUCAUCGAGUGUUAAAUUUGGGUUUCGAAGAGUGUUAAAACCUUUGAGUUCAGAUAUUUUCACUUUUUGAACGUAUUUUCUCGUACGGUAGGUUAACAUCGAUUUUGAACAUUAUAAAAUGAUCGGAGGAAUGUAGCUUCGAUCUCGUAUUGAAGUGUUAUAGCCUUUGGUAGAUGUAAUGAUCGAGAUCGAGGAUUGCAACGAAUACCCUUUUGGGCUAUCCGUCUGAUCUCUGAUACGUUGCCUCGGUAACGAAAGCGUGCUUACGGUAUUGAGGUAUUACGGUCAAAAGGUUAGAACGAGAUUACAUUCGUUAAGGAUGUUGACGUAAUGG
rnacentral:rRNA from 1 species